rnacentral:rRNA from 1 species
UACGUAGGGAGCAAGCGUUGUCCGGAAUCAUUGGGCGUAAAGCGCGCGUAGGUGGCCUCAUAAGUCCGCUGUGAAAGUCCAAGGCUCAACCUUGGAACGCCGGUGGAUACUGUGAGGCUAGAGUACGGAAGAGGCGAGUGGAAUUCCUGGUGUAGCGGUGGAAUGCGCAGAUAUCAGGAGGAACACCAAUAGCGAAGGCAGCUCGCUGGGACGUUACUGACACUGAGGCGCGAAAGCGUGGGGAGCGAACAGG